GGACCUUGCGUAGCUCAGUGAUGCAAAACAGAUUCUCCAUCAGAAGAAUCCAGAAAGCAGUGAUGCAUGGGACGGUCAUUACCUAGGUAAGGUGUGAAACCAUUCCUAAAAGAUUGGAGAGCUGGUUAUGGUGCUUAGGGUGUUUUUUAUUAUUCUGAAGGCAACGGUCUAUUCUAAUAGUAGUUUAGCAGUAUAGUUCUCUACCAGGCUAC